rnacentral:rRNA from 1 species
UACGUAGGGCGCAAGCGUUUGUCCGGAAUUAUUGGGCGUAAAGAGCUCGUAGGCGGCUUGUCACGUCGGAUGUGAAAGCCCGGGGCUUAACUCCGGGUCUGCAUUCGAUACGGGCUAGCUAGAGUGUGGUAGGGGGAGAUCGGAAUUCCUGGUGUAGGCGGUGAAAUGCGCAGAUAUCAGGAGGAACACCGGUGGCGAAGGCGGAUCUCUGGGCCAUUACUGACGCUGAGGAGCGAAAGCGUGGGGAGCGAACAGG